rnacentral:rRNA from 1 species
CUACAAAGGAAGUUGACGGGGCCCGCACAAGCGGUGGAGCAUGUGGUUUAAUUCGACGCAACGCGAAGAACCUUACCAGGGCUUGACAUCCCCUGACCGCGUAUGAAAGUACGUUUUCACCCUCGGGUGACAGGGAGACAGGUGGUGCAUGGUUGUCGUCAGCUCGUGUCGUGAGAUGUUGGGUUAAGUCCCGCAACGAGCGCAACCCCUACGUUUAGUUGCUAACGCGUGAAGGCGAGCACUCUAGACGAACUGCCGUUGACAAAACGGAGGGAGGUGGGGAUGACGUCAAAUCAUCAUGCCCCUUAUGUUCUGGGCUACACACGUGCUGCAAUGGCCGGUACAGACGGACGCAAAGCCGCGAGGUGGAGCAAAUCCUAAAAAGCCGGUCUCAGUUCGGAUUGCAGGCUGCAAUUCGCCUGUAUGAAGUCGGAAUCGCUAGUAAUCGCAGGUCAGCAUACUGCGGUGAAUACGUUCCCGGGCCUU